rnacentral:siRNA from 1 species
AGCGCAAUGGAUCUCUGAAUGGU